UUGCAAGCUCGAGUGAACUUACGUGCGUGUAUGUCAUCCGGCCACCCACAUGCAGUACAUGGAGCCAGACAUGUUCAAAAAGGCUAAUAAAAGGUACACAGACGCCAAAGUCUUGGUAUGUCAGCAAAGGCAUACAAACAGAAAAACCUUCGCAAACAUCGGUUGAAAUUCAGGCGUCGACCACAUCCUCCGAUGCAUUGCACAGCUGUGUUCGU